GCAGGGAGGGGGAAGGGUGUUGAUGGGAACAGAGAGGGGGAACGCUUGGGCAGGAGGAGUGUCUCAGAGUUCUCCUUCUGCCUCUUAUAUGUUUGCAGCCAGCCAUGCUGGGCCUGUGGUCCCUGCUUCUGUUCUGGGGCCUGGUGACUCCAUGCCAGGGGCUGCUGGAGACGGUGGGCACGCUCGCUCGAAUUGACAAGGAUGAGCUCGGCAAAGCCAUCCAGAACUCACUGGUCGGGGGGCCUAUUCUGCAGAAUGUGCUGGGAUCUGUCACAGCCGUGAACCAGGGCCUCCUGGGCUCAGGAGGGCUGCUUGGAGGAGGUGGCUUGCUGGGCCAGGGAGGGAUUUUUGGCGUUGUCGAGAAGCUCUCUGGUCUGAAGAUUGAGGAGCUCACGCUGCCGAAGGUGUCGCUGAAGCUGCUGCCGGGGUUUGGGGUGCAGCUGAACCUGCACACCAAAGUGGGCAUGCAUUGCUCUGGCCCCCUUGGGGGCCUCCUGCAGCUGGCGGCGGAGGUGAACGUGUCGUCGCGGGUGGCGCUGGGCAUGAGCUCGCGGGGCACGCCCAUCCUUACCCUCAAGCGCUGCAGCGCGCUCCUGGGCCAUAUCAGCCUGUUCUCAGGGCUGCUGCCCGCACCGCUCUUUGGGGUCGUGGAACAGACACUCUUCAAGGUGCUUCCGGGACUGCUGUGCCCUGUGGUAGAUAGUGUGCUGAGCGUGGUGAAUGAGCUCCUGGGGGCUGUGCUGGGCCUGGUGCCCCUUGGGGCUCUCGGGUCCCUGGAAUUCUCUCUGGCCACACUGCCUAUCAUCUCCAACCAGUACAUAGAACUGGACAUCAAUCCUAUCGUGAAGAGUGUAGCUGGUGACAUCAUUGACUUACCCAAGCCCCCGGCCCCAGCCAAGGUGCCCCCCAAGGAGGACCACACAUCCCAGGUGGUAGUGCCCCUGUACCUCUUCAACACCGUGUUUGAACUCCUGCAGACCAGCGGCGCCCUCGACAUGGACAUCACCCCUGAGCUGGUUCCCAGCGAUGUCUCACUGACAACUACAGACCUGGCGGCUCUGCUCCCUGAGGCCCUGGGGAAGCUGCCCCCGCACCAGCACCUCCUGCUCUCCCUGCGCGUGAAGGAAGCUCCCGUGGUCACGCUCCAUGACAAGAAGGCCUUGGUCUUCAUCCCAGCCAGCAUCCACGUGCUGUUCAGUGUCCCUCAGGGGACCCCUGAAUCCCUCUUUGAGCUGGACGGGGUUAUGACUCUGCGUGCCCAGCUGGCUCCCUCGGCUACCAAGCUGCGUAUCCUCCCUGUCCCUGGAACGGCUCAGUGUCAAGGUGGCCUCCUCUUUUACUCACGCCUUUGAUGAAUCGCCUUUAGAAGAAUGGCUCAGCCAGGUGGUCCGGGCAGUGUAUGCACCAAAGCUUAAUGUGGCCCUGGAUGUUGGAAUUCCCCUGCCUAAGAUUCUUAAUGUCAAUUUUGCCAAUUCAGUUCUGGGGAUCAUAGAGAAUGCUGUUGUGCUGACCGUGGCAUCCUGAGGCUGACAUGUCCACCAGCUCUCCCUGUUGACUUCUAGAGACCACCUGUCCACCCUGCCUCAAUUUCCCUCCCAGUCUCUAGCCGGUGUUGGUGACAGUAUAAAUGCCCUCUGGCCCUGCAGCACUACUCCCAGUUUGGGAUGGGAACUUCCUGGCUAAUCAUAGAACUGCCUGAGAGAGAGCUCUGGGUCCUCAGUGGCAAGCCCUCAGCUUUCAAUAAAUGACUCCUCUGUCUCCGUA